GGUUUAUUUGUAUCUGUCCUACUCAUUUAAAUAAUAAGACCAUUGUGGAAGGAAGGUGAAUCCCCAUAAGUAAGACUGUUGAAAAUCCUACAGCUAGAGAUUCAAGAUCUAUGUUUAGCAGUUGGACUUAAUGCAUUUCUUGAGAAAAAUAAAAUGUUCUCUAGAGAAUGGAAUCGUGAUGUUCAAUAUAAAAGCAGAAUCUGGGCCCAGCUCAAACAGGAAAAUGGCAGCCUCUAUCUUGUACAUUUCCCACCACGUUAAGUCAGUAAUGUUGUGUGCAGCAUAAAUGAUACCUAAAUUAAAAACAAGGACACAAAAAAACAGGAGGUGGUGACCAAAGUCUUCAACAAGGAGAGGGAAGUAAAAAAAGGGAAAGAAAAAGACG
rnacentral:lncRNA from 1 species